rnacentral:rRNA from 1 species
UAGGGAGUAUUAGAAAUGGACGAAAGUCUGAUCUAGCAACACCGCGUGUGCGAUGAAGGCCUUCGGGUUGUAAAGCACUUUUUGGAAGGAUUAGGAAGGAAUGUACUUCCAGAAUAAGUCUCGGCUCACUACGUGCCAGCAGCCGCGGUAACACGUAGGAGGCGAACGUUAUCCGGAUUUACUGGGCGUAAAGCGCGUGUAGGUGGUUCUGUAAGUAGGGCGUGAAAGCUCCUGGCUCAACUAGGAGAGGCCGUUCUAAACUGCAGAGCUAGAGGAUAGGAGAGGGAGGUGGAAUUCCGGGUGUAGAGGUGGAAUGCGCAGAUAUACGGAGGAACACCAGUGGCGAAGGCGGCCUCCUGGACCAUACCUGACACUCAGACGCGAAAGCUAGGGUAGCAAACGG